ensembl:snRNA U1 U1 spliceosomal RNA
GUAUGUAAUCGGCAGGGGAGAUACCAUGAUCACAAAGAUAGUUUUCCCAGGUUGAGGCUUCACCAUCACACUCUGGAUGUGCUGCCCCCUGCAAUUCCUCCACAUGUGGGAGAUUCUGGGGCAUAGUUCGUGAUAGUGGGGUACUGCGUUCACACUACCCCU